AAGUCUCAAUAUUUAUGCAAAACCUGAACUUAGUUAUUUAACGAACAGAUUAUAUCGAGAUUUUUAAAAUCAUAGAAGCCCGAGUAUUUCAUGAUUUUAAGGUUGAUAGAAUUUUAUGCAAAAAGCCCAAAUUAAAUUGUCUCAAAUUUUUAUUCACAGCCGAGUAGCUAUUUAUUUGGGCCAAGAGGUUGUUAAGAAAAUAGUGAGGAAGCCCAAUAAGUAUUUAUUUGGGCCAGGAAUAUUGUCAUAUAAAAAGGGCCCAAGCCCAAUUUUAUAUCUUUUAAUUAGAGUUUUAAAUUGCUAAUUAGAUCUAUUAAGCCUGAUUAGCUCAUAGAGGAUCACGUUUCUUGUAGCUUUUACGCAGCUACUCCACAACCAACUCCAAACCAUAUAAAAUCUCUCCUCAGGAUUAAUUUGACCAUUUUUCCUCAUUCUGCAAGAUGUUAAAUACACCGGCAAAAUACCAUCCCAAAUCCGACUCAACCACGAUCAUUUGCAAUCCCCAGCAGUUUAUAGCAGCAUCAAGCAAAGCAGGUUAAGCUGUGAUGCAGAUGGAUGUCAGCAGAGCAAAGAUUUUGAUAUAUAAGUACUAAAUUAGGCUCAGGAUUCCAUGUCUUCAUACAUGUAAUCCACUUAAGCUAUUCCGCUGCAACGCUUAGUGCGUUUUACUUUAUUGAUGUGUUGCAAAGAUUUCAAACUAAUAGCUUACAGAAUUAUGUCACUUGAUACUUAGACAACUUGUCGUUAUGUAUUGCGAGUUGUCUGCUUUUGAGUUUUAGAAAAGAUUGUUUAUGAUUACCAAAUAUUUUGGUAAAUUAUUGUUUAAGCAUGUUAGUGAUUUUUAUUGA